rnacentral:lncRNA from 1 species
UGUUCGUCUUCUCUGGAAGAGACAGCAUUUAAGGCACCAUCUUCGAAGUAAAGACUGGGCCCUCACCAGACACUGAACCUGCUGGCAUUUGGAUUUUGAACUUCCCAGCCUCCAUAACUGUCUAACCAUAAAAUCAUCAAUACUGAGAAAUUAAAAGGGGAACAUGUCAGGCCUCACUCUUUCUGUAUUGGAUUUCAAGAGUAUUGUCCUUGGUGAGGAAGACAAAGUGAGUGGGCUCAGUAACUCGCCCGAGUCACAGAGUCAAAGCAGGAGCUGGACCCAGAUAGUCCAGAGCUCAUGCUCGUACACACUUCACUUCGCUAUCCUGAAUAAAAAAACCAAGACUCCAGGAGGGCUGCAGCUUCGUCCAAGGUGUCGUGACUUGCCCACAGCCACCCUCUUGGCAAAUGACCCAGUAAACUCCACCUCCAGCUCCUCUACCUCCAGAGCCUGUGUCUGUAUGUCUUCCUUUUGGAGCUUUCUUUCUUGGUAUUCUUUAUGUUUCAAUUUUUAAAAUGAUAGUCAAAUAUACACAACUUGAAUUUUGGCCAUUUUAA